CAAACUAUAAUGUUCAGGUAGCACUCAAUAACUCUAGAACUAAUAAAUUAUCAAAUUAAAAGAAGAGAGGUGAAGAAAAACUAGUUAAGAAGCCUCCUCCAAGCGUGUUGUGUAUUCCCCCACGUGAAUUCUCCUUCUAAGUAUGUUAGAUCCCUCCAAAGUGGCGUAUCUCCUUCAAAAAUAUGUUUACUCUUGCUUUUAUACGUGUUGGGUAGGUCUACGGCCGAAAUAACCUUGUCCGGGCAAAGUUGGAUAAAUUUUUCGUCAUCGGCGCCCAGCCUAGCACUGUAAAAUUGGAGCACACUGUCUCUGGCGCUGGAAAUUCCCUUUUUUGCUUUAUUAGUCCUUUUUGGCUAUAAUCUCGCACCUUUCGCCUCCAAUUGCUCCCGGAUCAUUCAUACAUAUAAAAACACCUCAAAUUAAUAUAUAUCAACAUAUUUUACAUCCUAAAUCCACAAAACAAUAGUAAAAUAUGAGGCUAUAUAUAUAUAUAUAUAUAUAUAUAUAUAUAUAUAUAUAUGCUUUAAGAUAAAUAUAAAUAGACAUAUACAUACUGCCUAUAUCUAUCGCUUUUCCUUCAUUGAUUUGAUUCUUUCAAUAGAUACCGAGAUUCAGAUUGGAAAUCAAAAAUCUAGUAAUUCAAACUAUUCAUCAAAUAAUUGAGUCUAAAAAUGUCAAUUGAAAACAAAGGUAUUUCUAUUAGUUUUAACAAGGCCAUUGAGCCUCAAGCUCAAAAAAUUAAUCCUUCAAUCAUACAUCCGUUUGACCUCUCAUCUUCUAAAUUCCCAAGGGAUAUAAAUACAUAAAAAUAUCAAAAAUUUAGGAGUUGUUAUUCAAUUGGACUCCAACAGCUCAAGUACAUGACUUUCCUCAAAGAUCCUCAGAUUGCUUUGCUUUCUCCUUCACUUUACUGUUUGCAGAAACAAAAGAAGAAGAUUGAGAAGAGAGGUUUUUGGCCAGUGAAUAUGACCUUAAAUUGUUCUUGGCGUGCUGCUGUAUGGCUCUUAUGGUGUGGUUCCACCUACAUAUUCCUUGAUCUUUCAGUGCCUCUACUACUCCCAAACUAGUUGCUGUAAUCCAUGCUCUGCUUGUUGAACUCAUUUUCCAAUCUUGAUUCUUGAAACUUUUUUUUUUGUGGCUAAGUUUAUGAAGCUAAGCUUUAAUUUGCUGAAGAAGGCUAGUGCUUUUACAAAGACUUGGUUUCUUUGUUGGUUGAUUUACAUCUAAUUUUUGUGUGUAUGUAUAUAGAUAUCUACUAAACAAAACUAGAGGCUUUUAGUUGUGAAUUCAUGUGGUUUUGGAGCAUGAUUUUCCGUAUUUGGAGUUUGGUGUGCAGCAUACAUUUCUGUCCUUGUGUAUAUUUCUUCGUCAUGACAAUGAUAUGGGGUGAAGUUGGUAUUUCAUUAUUAAUAAAUGAGAGUGUAGGAUCAGGUUGGUUGAAGAAGCACUCAGAUUUUUGAGUUCUCGUUUAGACUACUUAAUUGCUU
rnacentral:lncRNA from 1 species